GCUGCUUCUGAACGGCCACAAUCCCCUGCUGCCUCUGAACGGCCCCGCCUGCUCUUUGAACUUGGCCACAGCCCACUGGCCAACUGCCAUCAGCGAAGAGGGGUA